GCAGACUCAAUCUGUUCUUUGCCGCUCGCUCCAGCCUGGGACUUUUUCUGUCUGCUACAUGAACAUGCAGAAUGUAACAUCAUACUGGACUUCUAAAAGCCUGGUGCCUGUAUGUUCUGCUACAUUAGU